AGGUUAAGCUACAAAGAGCACACGGAGGAUGCCUAGGCGCCAGGAGCCGACGAAGGACGUGGCGAACAACGAUAAAGCCUCGGGGAGCUGUAAGCAAGCUUUGAUCCGGGGAUGUCCGAAUGGGGAAACCCGGCUGUCUUCAUCGACAGUCACUUUCUGCUGAAUACAUAGGCAGAAUAGAGGCAGACCAGGGGAACUGAAACAUCUAAGUACCCUGAGGAAGAGAAAACAAUAGUGAUUCCGUCAGUAGCGGCGAGCGAACGCGGAUUAGCCCAAACCAAGGAGCUUGCUCCUUGGGGUUGUGGGACGUCUCACAUGGAGUUACAAAGGAACCGGUUAGAUGAAGAGGUCUGGAAAGGCCCGCCAGAGAAGGUAAAAGCCCUGUAGUUCAAAACUUGUUCUCUCCGAGACGGAUCCCGAGUAGUGCGGGGCACGUGAAACCCCGUAUGAAUCCGGCAGGACCAUCUGCCAAGGCUAAAUACUCCCUGGCGACCGAUAGUGAAGCAGUACCGUGAGGGAAAGGUGAAAAGCACCCCGGAAGGGGAGUGAAAUAGAUCCUGAAACCGUGUGCUUACAAGAAGUCAGAGCCCGAUCUAUGGGUGAUGGCGUGCCUUUUGUAGAAUGAACCGGCGAGUUACGUUCCCGUGCAAGGUUAAGGUGAAGAGCUGAAGCCGCAGCGAAAGCGAGUCUGAAUAGGGCGACUUGAGUACGUGGACGUAGACCCGAAACCGGGUGAUCUACCCCUGUCCAGGGUGAAGGUGCGGUAACACGCACUGGAGGCCCGAACCCACGCAUGUUGAAAAAUGCGGGGAUGAGGUGGGGGUAGCGGAGAAAUUCCAAUCGAACCCGGAGAUAGCUGGUUCUCCCCGAAAUAGCUUUAGGGCUAGCCUCGGAAAGAAGAAUCGUGGAGGUAGAGCACUGAUUGGGUGCGGGGCCCGCAAGGGUUACCAAGCUCAGUCAAACUCCGAAUGCCAUAGAUUUAGUUCCGGGAGUCAGACAGUGAGUGCUAAGAUCCAUUGUCGAAAGGGAAACAGCCCAGACCAUCAGCUAAGGUCCCCAAGUGUGUGUUAAGUGGGAAAGGAUGUGGAGUUGCACAGACAACCAGGAUGUUGGCUUAGAAGCAGCCACCAUUGAAAGAGUGCGUAAUAGCUCACUGGUCGAGUGACUCUGCGCCGAAAAUGUAACGGGGCUAAACACACCACCGAAGCUAUGGCUUGAUGCUUGCAUCAGGGGUAGGGGAGCGUUGAAUGCGGAUUGAAGGUGUACCGUAAGGAGCGCUGGACUGCAUUCAAGUGAGAAUGCCGGUAUGAGUAACGAAAAGAUCUGUGAGAAUCAGAUCCGCCGAAAGCCUAAGGGUUCCUGAGGAAGGUUCGUCCGCUCAGGGUAAGUCGGGACCUAAGGCGAGGCCGAUAGGCGUAGUCGAAGGACAACAGGUCGAAAUUCCUGUACCACCGUAAUCCGUUAUGAGCGAUGGGGUGACGCAGUAGGGUAGUGACGCGGACUGAUGGAUGUCCGUCUAAGCAGUGAGGCUGGUGUGUAGGCAAAUCCGCACAUCGUAAGGCUGGGCUGUGAUGGGGAGCGAAAAUUGUAGUAGCGAAGGUCAUGAUCUCAGACUGCCAAGAAAAGCCUCUAGCCAGGAGAAGGUGCCCGUACCGCAAACCGACACAGGUAGGCGAGAAGAGAAUUCUAAGGCGCGCGGAAGAACUCUCGUUAAGGAACUCGGCAAAAUGACCCCGUAACUUCGGGAGAAGGGGUGCCUCGGUAGGGUGAAUAGCCCGAGGGGGCCGCAGUGAAAAGGCCCAAGCGACUGUUUAGCAAAAACACAGGUCUGUGCGAAGCCGCAAGGCGAAGUAUACGGGCUGACGCCUGCCCGGUGCUGGAAGGUUAAGGGGAGUGGUAAGCCUUCGGGCGAAGCUAUGAACCGAAGCCCCAGUAAACGGCGGCCGUAACUAUAACGGUCCUAAGGUAGCGAAAUUCCUUGUCAGGUAAAUUCUGACCCGCACGAAUGGCGUAACGACUUGGGCGCUGUCUCAACGAGAGAUCCGGUGAAAUUUUAAUACCUGUGAAGAUGCAGGUUACCCGCGACAAGACGGAAAGACCCCAUGGAGCUUUACUGCAGCUUGAUAUUGAAUUUGGGUACGAUCUGUACAGGAUAGGUGGGAGCCGUAGAACUUUGAGCGCCAGCUUGAAGGGAGGCAUCCUUGGGAUACCACCCUGAUCGUAUCUAGGUUCUAACUUGGUACCGUGAUCCGGUGCGAGGACAGUGUCAGGUGGGCAGUUUGACUGGGGCGGUCGCCUCCUAAAGAGUAACGGAGGCGCCCCAAGGUUCCCUCAGAAUGGUUGGAAAUCAUUCGAAGAGUGCAAAGGCAGAAGGGAGCUUGACUGCGAGACCUACAAGUCGAGCAGGGACGAAAGUCGGGCUUAGUGAUCCGGUGGUACCGCAUGGAAGGGCCAUCGCUCAACGGAUAAAAGCUACCCUGGGGAUAACAGGCUUAUCUCCCCCAAGAGUCCACAUCGACGGGGAGGUUUGGCACCUCGAUGUCGGCUCAUCGCAUCCUGGGGCUGAAGUAGGUCCCAAGGGUUGGGCUGUUCGCCCAUUAAAGCGGUACGCGAGCUGGGUUCAGAACGUCGUGAGACAGUUCGGUCCCUAUCUGUCGUGGGCGUAGGAAAUUUGAGAGGAGCUGUCCUUAGUACGAGAGGACCGGGAUGGACGUACCGCUGGUGUACCAGUUGUUCCGCCAGGAGCACCGCUGGGUAGCUAUGUACGGAAGGGAUAAGCGCUGAAAGCAUCUAAGCGUGAAGCCCCCCUCAAGAUGAGAUUUCCCAGUAUGUAAGACCCCUUGAAGACGACGAGGUAGAUAGGUUGGGGGUGGAAGUGCAGUAAUGCAUGGAGCUGACCAAUACUAAUCGGUCGAGGGCUUAUCCUAA
rnacentral:rRNA from 1 species